AGCUUUGUGCAGUGGCAGUAUGGUAGCCAAUGAGGUUUACCCGAGGCACGAUUAUUGCUAAUUGAAAUCUUUUCCCAAUACCUAACUUGAAAUAUAGUUGGCAUUGGCAAUUUUUGACACUCUCUGUGGAGA
rnacentral:snRNA from 1 species